rnacentral:rRNA from 1 species
UACGUAGGGUGCGAGCGUUAAUCGGAAUUACUGGGCGUAAAGCGUGCGUAGGCGGUCCGCGAAGUCUGAUGUGAAAGCCCCGGGCUCAACCUGGGAACUGCAUUGGAAACUAACGGGCUCGAGUGUGGCAGAGGGGGGUGGAAUUCCACGUGUAGCAGUGAAAUGCGUAGAGAUGUGGAGGAACCCCGAUGGCGAAGGCGGCCCCUGGGCUAACACUGACGCUCAGGCACGAAAGCGUGGGGAGCAAACAGG